AUGCGACAAGAUGCCCCUCUGUAAUCAGAAGAAGAUAAAUUGACUUCAAGUAGUACAGAAUGCUAGAAACUUUCCAGCCUAUACAAUCUGGUAUACAUUAGAUAUCUCCUUGUAGGGAACGCUCAAUCAGAUUAAAAAUCUAAGGAAAACAAUGUAGAUGCCUGACAGCAUUGAGAAUAUAUUCUGCAGGGCCUAAACCUACCAACUCCAUGUGGGCAUCAAGCAUUUCUGCAUGCGACAUAGCUAGUCUAUCUAUCAUAAAUGACAUCCCCACCAAUUCAAGUUCUUUAUGUUCAUGGACACUUAAACUGGUGUACC